GGGCGCUGAGAGGACGUGACCCCGCAAAAGGAGGAUGGACAGGAGAAAAAGGGUCUAGCUAUGUUGCCCAGGCUGGUCUCAGACUCCUGGGUUCAAGCAGUACUUCUACCUCUUCCUCCCAAAAUAGUGGGAUUAAGGCAUGAGCCACCUCGCCCAGCCUGAAUGGUGUUUUAAAUGCUGAUGAAACAGAUGUUCUUGUUACCUUAUCAUAUGCUUCAUGCCAAAGGUAGACUUUGCAAAGGAAAUAAACAGAUUGAUGAUUGGUGUAUUCUACUGUAAUGCAUUCUGGAACAAUUGUCUUUGGCAAGUCAGCUAACUAUCAGUACUUCAGAAAUGUUCCCCCCGUGAUUACCAAGCCAAUACACAUGCCUGAAUAAUGAGAAAUGUGUUACUGAAUGACUGAUAAAGAUUGACAAGGGAAUGCAAGGAGCAAUCCACAGUAUCCUCUUGCUGAUAGACAAUUGCUCUGCCCACAACAUACUCCCACACUUGGAUCAUGUAGGAGUUGAGCUUUUCCCAUUGAACUACACAGCCAUUCUGCAGCCAUUGGAUGAGGGUGUAAUUGGCACAGAGAAAGCUCACUUCUGAAAGCAGUUUCUAAAUAUAGAGAAUGAAGAGAAAAUGGAGAAAAGCAACAUGAAUAAGCCAUUGACAUGAUUGCAGAGACUUGGUGGUCUACAAAGUUAUCUGUAAUCAUGAAAUGUUAGCAAAACACAGGCAUGAUUCCUGUGGGAUCCCCUGAGGUCCUCCUGUAAGGAGGCUGCAACCAAAUGUGGUGUUUGAACCAAUCUAGCACUCAACUACUACUGUCAUUGAUGUCUCAAACCAGUUUGAUUUUGAAGACUGUGUGGCUACAGAUAACAGUUUAUUUCCCAAGUUACCAAAUCCUGAAGUUGCUACAGGAGUGCUAACUGAUGUAAAAAUUGAACCAGAAAGUCGGUGAUAAUGAUGAAGAAGGCAACCAUGAUAAUCAUGACGUGCAUGAGGAAUAAGUGACUGAACCGGCAAGAGUGAACAUUUCUGAAGCCUUUGCAAGUGUAGAAAGUGCUUAGAACAUUCCUUUCUCUUCAAGCAGAUGUUCCUCUUGAGAUAAUAACUCAUCAUUGAUGAAGAUGUCUUCAGCACCUGAGCCUCCAGCAUUCAAAAAGGAACCACCCAAAGAGAAAGACUUUCAAAGCCCGGGGCUCAGACGGGUGCGCACAACAACCUUAUUUCGUGCUGUGAAUCCAGAGCUCUUCAUUAAACCUAACAAACCUGUAAUGGCUUUCGGAUUGGUAACUCUUUCACUUUGCGUGGCAUAUAUUGGUUAUCUGCAUGCAACACAAGAGAAUAAAAAGGACCUCUAUGAAGCUAUUGAUAGUGAGGGGCACAGUUACAUGAGGCGGAAAACAUCCAAAUGGGAUUAGUAAUGCUGGUUACUGCAGAUGGACGUUUAUUAAGCGUUCUGAAAUCUUCAACUGAAAGACCUUAAUGUUUCUUAUUCUCUGAAGCAUCAGCAUUUUGAAGUGUCUUUUAUGGAAGUGGGGACAGAAAAGGGGGUAAAAAUGAGUGUAAACAAAGCCGAGCCCCACUGUCAGCACCGAGCAGCAGAAUGGCCUUGGUUGUCCUGGCACCUGGCCCAGGGGCCUAGGACAGAGGUCAAGGCUAGGCCCCUGUGUCUGGCCAGAUUCUGCCUUAUAGAAUUCAAAUCUUUAUCACAAGGGUUCUGGACCUGUUUCAUUUCUAGAUAUGUACCUAAUUCUCCAAAUCAUUGUAAUUGGGCCUCAGUAGUAAAUCUCACCUCUGAAGUUUUGCUUCAGUUGCUAUUAAUAUUACCAAGUAAUAAUAACAGCACAGGCAGAGUUUAUCAUAAUGUUAUUUUUAAUUUAUCAUACUUCAUUGUCGUUUUGUAAGGUAUAUGAAUAUGUAAUUAUGUGUGAUUUGUAGAUAUUAAAGAACUUAGCUAAUUGAAUUUACAUGCAACUAAAUAAAAUCUUUACUACU
ensembl:lncRNA